CUCUCUGCCGUCUCCUCCCAAGAGGAACACUGUCAGUUCUUCAGCUCUAUUUGACGUGUUGCCUCUGACAAGUGUUGUUUGAAUGAUGGGUGUUCUUGGGAAACCUUGUCUUUAAAGAAGCUGUUUUUAUGCUCCAGCAGCCAUCACUUAAGUAGUUGACUUUUAAGCCUCUGUGGUAAAAACAAAUGGACUGCAUUACAUUUAUUGAAAAGUAUUGUCUUCAAAUAAACUUUGUCUAACCAUUUUAAUGUUUGCUCCAGAGCUGGCCAAUGAAUAUGAAUUUAGUAUUCUCUUUAUUAAAAUUUUAAGUGCAUUAAUAAUAAUAUGUGAAACUCUCCUCUAAGUAAAACACGUUUGAGUUGUCGUGAUAGCAUUUUUACUGGUCUCUCUUGGACGAUGCAUGACAUCUACUUCAUUUAAUUCUUUUCCACAGAUCUUUAAGCUCUCCAUUCUCCACUCGUGUCACGAGCUGGCUCUGUUUGCCAUCUACAGCCCUGUAUCUCUAAGCUCCAUCUGAGCUGCACAGAUUGAGGUCUAAUGGGAAUCAACCCGAGCUCGGCUCUCCUACUCCCAGCCUGCUGAUCCCGAAAUGUCCUGCCUGGAGGAGUAGUGGCUGAGUGACAGCUCUUUGCAAAUGCCACCUGGCGGCAGCAACUUGUCGGGUGCUGUUAUUUGGAGGGGGGGAUUCCGUAGCAUCGCCUCCCCUAUUUGAGUGAGCCCCUCCUUCUUGCUGAGAUUUUGGGUCCCAUUUUGUUUGGCAUCCUUGUUUUAUGCCUGCCUUCCUCUUAUCUCUCCUCCUGUCCUCCAGCCUCAAGAUCAGCUUUCAGACAUGACUUGAAAAUGGAGGUGAUGAACCAGAGAAGACAGGUAAUCAGCACCACCUCGGCCGUACACCUGUUGCCAAUCAGCACUCUACUCUGCCUGCAUUUAAGCCUGCCAGAUCCAAGACUCCACUGCCAGAGUAUUAACAUUCUCUCGUGUGCUCCUUCUGUGUUUCCCGCUGUAUUGACCUCUUCCACCAAGCCAUCCACCUGCUCACGCCACCGCCUGCUGCACGAGCAGGUGCACGACAACCCACCACUAUGCCUCAAGGAUCCAUCUCCAUAUCCUCGUCAAUAAACCUUUCACCACAAACCUCUCAGCCUCCACUUGGUUCUGGGCCCAGUGAAAAUCGAAUUGUGACACAUUGUCCCUAUCCUUGCGCUGUAGGUUUUGAUAAUUUUAUCUGUGAUGCAUUUUAAUUUUUUCAGUAAACGUGAAAUAUGAAUUGAGAGUUAGUCAACUUCAAGUGUUAAACGUUGAUUCGUAGUAGUAAAUUCAACUCGUUUAUUAGUUGGCGAAUCAAUUCAACCCCUGGGGCCAGGGGCCCAAUGGCCAACCCCCACGUGUGUUGUGAAAAAUCAUGAAAUAAUUUUCAGCUCAAAGUUAUUUUCCCCUGUUGAUGAUUAGUUUUCAAGGGGAAGAAAAGUUUAAUCAGCAACACCCCGAACGCCGGUGAUGAUGUAAUUUCGUGGCCACCCCACAAAAUUGCCUAAAAUUGUCUGACCACCCCACUGAAAAAUUCCUGGCUGCGCCACUGGUAAAAACAUUGCUUUUUAAUGUGUACACAUUAACAAUAUCAUGCUCUUAAUUAGUAAUGGUUGUACAUUUGUGUUAAAAUGUUUUUGCAGUGACUCAAGUGUUAUAUGUAGUAUUUAACAACACAUUGUGGAUACACACAAACAUAGUGGCAUGCUUAAAGCUCACUCACCUCAAAUAAGACUGACGAGCAGAAAAUCAUCAUCACCCACAA